ensembl:lncRNA
CCAGGUGAGCUCACCUGUGUGACGUCAUCAGUGUUACCUGUGGGACCUCACCUGGCUGACCUCACCUGUGUGACGUCAUCAGUGUCACCUGUGUGACCUCACCUGUCUCACCUGUUCCUUCCCACCUGUCUCUCACCUGUCCCCACCUGUCCCACCUGUCCCCUCUCACCUGUCCCACCUGGCCAGGUGAAGGUGCUCGGUGGCCGCGCCCUCCCUGCCAACGUCACCUUCUGGGUCCCGUCUCACCUGGGCCAGGAGCGGCUCUGGGAUCACCUGGAGGUCACACCUGAGCAGGUGAGGGCCACGCCCCCAAACCCUGCCCAGAAAUGGCCCCAAAAUCACCAAAAAUGGACCCAAAAUGUCCCAAAAUCACCAAAAAUGGACCCAAAAUGUCCCAAAAUCACCAAAAACGGACCCAAAAUGUCCCUGAAUGGCCCCAAAAUCACCAAAAACGGACCCAAAAUUUCCCCAAAAAUGGCCCCAAAAUGUCCCAAAAUCGCCAAAAAUGGCCCCCAAAAUCCUCACAAACGGCCCCAAAAAUGGCCCCAAAAUGCCCCAAAAUGUCCCAAAAAUGGCCCCAAAAUGGCACAAAAUCCCCUGAAAUUGCCCCAAAAAACGCCAAGAAUUUGCCCCAAAAUGCCCCAAAAGUCCCAAAUGUCCCAAAAUCCCCCCAAAAUGGCCCAAAAUCCCCCAAAACGGCCUCAAAAAGUCCCAAAAUGUUCCCAAAAUCGCCAAAAAUGGCCCCAAAAAUCCUCGCAAAUGGCCCCAAAAAUAUCCCCAAAAAUGUCCCAAAAUCACCAAAAAUGCCCCCAAAAACGUCCCCAAAAAUUUCUCUAAAAUGUCCCAAAAUCCCCCAAAAUGUCCUCAAAAAUGGCCCCAAAAAAUCCCAAAAAAUGGCUCCAAAAUUGUCCCAAAAUUUCCCAAAAAUGUCCCAAAUUCCCCCAAACCGGCCCCAAAAAGUCCCAAAAUUUCCCCCAAAUGUCCCAAAAUCACCAAAACUUGUCCCAAAAUGGCCCCAAAAUCCCCCAAAAUGGAACCAAAAAUGGCUCCAAAAUUGUCCCAAAAUUCCCCAAAAAUGCCCCAAAUUCCCCCAUACCGACCCCAAAAAGUCCCAAAAUUUCCCCCAAAUGUCCCAAAAAUUGCCCCAAAAAUGGCCCAAAACCCCAAAAUUUACCCCAAAUCCUCCAAAAUGCCCCAAAAUCCCCAAAAAUGUCCCUAAAAAAUGUUCCAAAAUCACCAAAAAUGGCCCCAAAAAUGGCCCCAAAAUGUCCCAAAAUCCCCGAAACUUAGCCCCAAAAAAUCCCAAGAAAAGCCCCAAAAUAGCCCCAAAACUAGGCCCAAAAAACGUCCCAAAAUUCCCCAAAAUCGCCAAAAAUGGCCCCAAAAAUGGCCCCAAAAUGGCCCAAAAUGGCCAAAAGUGUCCCCAAAAAUCUUCACAAACGGCCCCAAAAAUAUCCCCAAAAAUGUCCCAAAAUCCCCUGAAAAUGCCCCAAAAAAUGGACCCCAAAAUGUCCCAAAAUGCCCCAAAAAUCGCCAAAAAUGGACCCAAAAAUGCCCCAAAAUCCCCAAAAAUGGCCCCAAAAAAAUCCCAAAAAAAUGGACUCCAAAAAAUGUCCCCAAAAAUCCCUCAAAAAUGGACCCCAAAAAA